UACGUCCACACCUUUUAGGUGUGGAUCAGUUGACUGUCAUACUUCCAAGAAAAGCUCGAACUACUGUAAAGCAUCACGUACCUGUACCGUAAACCGACACAGGUGGGUUGGUAGAGUAUACCAAGGGGCGCGAGAUAACUCUCUCUAAGGAACUCGGCAAAAUGACCCCGUAACUUCGGGAGAAGGGGUGCCAAGUAACUCAAAUUGCUUGGUCGCAGUGACCAGGCCCUGGCGACUGUUUAUCAAAAACACAGGUCUCCGCAAAGUCGUAAGACAACAUAUGGGGGCUGACGCCUGCCCAGUGCCGGAAGGUUAAAGAAGUUGGUUAUUCACUCGUGGAGAAGCUGACGACUGAAGCCCCGGUGAACGGCGGCCGUAACAAUAACGGUCCUAAGGUAGCGAAAUUCCUUGUCGGGCAAGUUCCGACCCGCACGAAAGGCGUAACGAUCAGGGCACUGUCUCGGAGAGAGACUCGGUGAAAUAGACAUGUCUGUGAAGAUGCGGACUACCUGCACCUGGACAGAAAGACCCUAUGAAGCUUGACUGUAGCCUGGAAUUGGGUUCGGGCUCUUCUUGCGCAGCCUAGGUGGGAGGCGUUGAAGGCUUUCAUUUGGGGAAGCUGGAGCCAUCAGUGAGAGACCACUCUGGAGGAGCUAGAAUUCUAAUGGCGUUCCUUGAAGCAGGACGCUUGACAGUUUCAGGUGGGCAGUUUGACUGGGGCGGUCACCUCCUAAAAGGUAACGGAGGUGUGCAAAGGUUCCCUCAGGCUGGACGGAAAUCAGCCGUAGAGUGUAAAGGCAGAAGGGAGCUUGACUGCAAGACCUACAAGUCGAGCAGGGGCGAAAGCCGGCCUUAGUGAUCCGACGGUUCCAUGUGGAAGGGCCGUCGCUCAACGGAUAAAAGUUACUCUAAGGAUAACAGGCUGAUCUUCCCCAAGAGUUCACAUCGACGGGAAGGUUUGGCACCUCGAUGUCGGCUCAUCGCAACCUGGGGCGGUAGUACGUCCCAAGGGUUGGGCUGUUCGCCCAUGAAAGCGGUACGUGAGCUGGGUUCAGAACGUCGUGAGACAGUUCGGUCCAUAUCCGGUGUAGGCGUUAGAGCAUUGAGAGGAGUCUUCCAUAGUACGAGAGGACCUGGAAGAACGCACCUCUGGUAUACCAGUUAUCAUGCCAAUGGUAGACGCUGGGUAGCCAUGUGUGGAGUGGAUAACCGCUGAAAGCAUCUAAGUGGGAAGCCCACCUCAAGAUGAGUGCUCUCCAUUAGGUCACAGGAAGACAACCUGUUUGAUAGGCAGAAGGUGUAAGGCUAGUAAUAGUUUCAGCUGAUCUGUACUAAUAGACCGAUUGAUUUU
rnacentral:rRNA from 1 species